ensembl:rRNA 5S_rRNA 5S ribosomal RNA
AUCUAUGGCCAUACCACCCUGAACAUGCCAGAUCUCAUCUGAUCUCAGAAGCUAAGCAGGGUCGGGCCUGGUUAGUACUUGGAUGGGAGAAGACCCUGUCUCAAAAAAA